rfam:complete chromosome Acholeplasma brassicae.
GAUAUAGCUAUGAUGAAAAGAGUAGGCUAAUUAGAUACCGUAGAGAGUUUGUGGUUGGUGUAAACAAACGUAUUGAUUAGUUGAACAUGAUUUCUGAGCUAUUUGGCCGAUAAGUAGGCUAAAUCGUAGACACGCGUUAAGUGUUUAAAGGGCUAAGUAACAAAAAGUUAUUUAGAACUAAGGUGGUACCGCGAUCAUUCGUCCUUAGA